rnacentral:lncRNA from 1 species
AUCUCAUGCACCUUCGGCUAAUCCUCCUAAAGGGUCCUCUCCGACGCCGGCAACUUCACCUUCCACGUCUUCGCCUUAUCCUCCAAAAGGAUACUCUCCAGUGCCGGCGACUUCACCUUCCACGUCACCAUCAUCUCAUGCGCCUUCGCCUUAUCCUCCAAAAGGGUACUCUCCGGUGCCGGCAACUUCACCUUCUACGUCACCAUCAUCAUCCCAAUCACCUGCGGCUAAUGCUCCAACUGGGCUGUCACCGGCUCCGGGAACUUCCCCCUCCACGUCACCGUCAUCGCAACCACCUGCGGCUAAUGCUCCAACUGGGCUGUCACCGGCUCCGGGAACUUCCCCCUCCACGUCACCGUCAUCGCAGCCACCUGCGGCUAAUGCUCCAACAGGAGUAUCUCCCCCGCCGGGAACCUCCCCUUCCACGUCACCGCCGGCGGUUCCAUCGUCACCUGGUAAUGCGCCAUCAUUGGCGCCGUCGAACUCAAGUAAUCCGGCUGGUGGGACGCCACCGCCGUCG